CCGGAGGGUAUGGAAGGGCCGGCUGCCUGGAGGGUAUGGGAGCAGGUAAGAUCCCGGGCAGUGGCACUGCAAAGUGGAAGGCCCAGCUGCCUUUUUAUGACAGACGGAGGAGGCGUUUUCAAAGUGAUGACAACGUUUCUGAACAGGAAAGUGGGUCUCUCUUCUUCCCCAACAGUCUUAGAGCAUCUAAAAAUAAAGCAGGCAUCAAGAGAGCAUCCCAGCAGUGCCACCACAACACAGGGCUCGAACGUGGACGGGAGAGGGGCCUUAGUGGACCCGGAGGCUGAGCUGGCCUCACAGCAUUGGUGCUGGGGGAGGAUGGACGGUUAGGAUCCUGGGUCUUUGGCCCCACAGCCUAGGCUGUGGCCCGAGGUCUCAGUCUACCCAUCUGUGAAAUGAGGGGGAGCUGGUCCUGACUGCCUCCCAGGGACCUCGUGAAAAGCCGCUGUGAACUCUUCGCAGAGAGGAGGUGUGCUGGUGCCGCCAUCCAGCAUUUCCUGGGGCCAACUCUGCUCGGGGUACUGUGUAAAGGAAUCCACAGCCAUCGACUUCCCUUCAUCCUUGCCAUGUCUCUGAAACAAUCCCUUCUGGGUCUUUUAUUCCUCCGUCAGAUGCCUCAAGAUGGCCACAUGGGAGGCCCUGUGCCAUGGUGUGAGCUGUGACCACAGCCAGAGUGGCUGCAUCAGAUAGAGGCCAGGGAAGCAGGAGGACAGAAAAAUCCAAUUUCUUUAAGUGGAUAUUGGCUACAGAAGUCUCAUCUUGGACAGCUCUGCCACUGCUUUCUGCCCUCUGUGAUUUUAAAGAUGACAGGUUUGUUUCUGCCUCGGGGCCUCUGCACUGGUCUUUUCUUUUUCAUGAUUAUUCUUUCCCUAGAAUUCUCUGUGCAUCACUGGCUCUCAUCUUGCCAUUCAGGGGUCAGCUCAGAUGGUGCUUUUUCAGGGAGGCUUCCCCAGCCAGACCAUCUAAUGGUAACUGAGCACUCCACCGAAUUCUGUUUCUUAUCCCAUCCAAUUGUGUCCUCAGCACUCAACACUUUUUGAGAUUUUCUUGCGUCAUUAUUUAUUAAUAUGUUUCUUGUCUGUUUUCCCCAAUAGCUUGCAAGUUUCAUGAGCCUAGAGGUUUAGCUUCUUUGUUCACUCUCUUAUUGAUAGAAGCUGAUACAGUAAAGGUGCUCAGUAAACAGCUAAUGAAUAGAUGCGUGCAUGAAUGAAUGAAUGACCAUCUAAGACAGAUCAAGGUGAGCCUGCUUUGAGUUGGAGCAGGUAUAGAGGGCUGUGACCCUGCUGGCUGGACCACCUCUCAGGAUCACCCUCCUCCUACAGUCUUUAAGGCCCCCCUCCCACCAGGGUGUCACAAAGCCAAGUUUGAAAACCACUGCAUUGAAAAACUACCUUUUGGGUACCAUGCUCACUACCUGGGUGAUGGGAUCAAUCAUACCCAAACCUCAGCAUCACACAACAUACUCAUAACAAACCCACACAGGUACAACUUGAAUCUAAAAUAAAAAUUGAAAUUUAAAAAAAACCCCACAAAACCACUAUUGGGAGGCCGGGCAUUAGGAUCACCUGAGGUUGGGAGUUCAAGACCAGCUUGGCCAACUUGGAGAAACCCUGUCUCUACUAAAAAUACAAAAUUAGCUGGGUGUGGUGGCACAUGCCUGUAAUCCCAGCUACUCGGGAUUACAGAAUCGCUUGAACCUGGGAGGCAGAGGUUGUCGUGAGCUGAGAUCACACCACUGCACUCCAUCCUAGGCUGGGCAACAAGAGCAAAACUCGUCUCAUACAAAAUAAAACAAAACAAAAACCACUGGACUUCAUUACUUUAGACUCCUCGCAGCUCUGACAACCCAUAGCUAAUUCUAAAAACAGUGGUACAGCCAGGAAGCUCCAGGGUUUCAGAGAAGGGCAAGUUCAAUAAUGAUUCCAGUAGUCUCCGAGGAGGUAGGUGGCCUUUAAACUGGUUUGGAGAUUUAGAGAUGGUGCAAAGAGCCCUCGAGGAGGAAGAGAGGAGAAGCAAAGUUUUGGGAGGGCAGGAAUUUGGGGCUAUUUCAGACAACCAUUAGGAGUCAGGGGAAAUUGAGUGUUGGAAAAGGCCAGAUAUCUGGGGGCCUUGGAUGCCCAGGUGAGACCACGUGCCUGAUGGGCAGCACAUGGGAGCAGGCAUUGAUGCUUUGGGCAGAGCGGUGAAGUCACCAGGGUCUUGCAUUUGGGCAAUGAGGUGGAGAGGGCAGGAGUGGAGGCUGAGUGAUAACGAGGGCUGAAUCAAGGCAGUGGGGAUGGCAUCAAGGAUGGGAUCCAGGCGAGAAAGAAACGAAGAAUGGAGCUGAUUGAGCAGCGAAUUAAUGUGGAGGGGAAGGAAGAGAAAGAGUCUGAGGUAGCACUGAGGUUUCCUACCCAGCUUGGGGGACGGUGUCCUUGUUCAGGAGUUUUGAGUGACUGUCAUCAGGGAUGGUCGGGGAGGGGUGGGCUUGCAGACAGGAAGCUCCCCCAGCCCCAGGCAGGGAGGGUGAGUCUUCCCAACUCAGCCACGUCCCACUUCAGGCUGCCUGGGUAAAGAGGAGCUUUCACAGGCCAGGUGUGGUGGCUCAUACCUGUAAUCCCAGCACUUUGGGAGGCCGAGGUGGGUGGAUC